rnacentral:rRNA from 1 species
UAGAUACCCUGGUAGUCCACGCUGUAAACGAUGAGUGCUAGGUGUCGGGAGUAAUCUCGGUGCCGCAGUAAACACAAUAAGCACUCCGCCUGGGGAGUACGUACGCAAGUAUGAAACUCAAAGGAAUUGACGGGGACCCGCACAAGCAGCGGAGCAUGUGGUUUAAUUCGAAGCAACGCGAAGAACCUUACCAGGGCUUGACAUAUAGCGGACAUAUUUAGAGAUAAAUACUUUUCUUCGGAAACCGCUA